rnacentral:rRNA from 1 species
UCACCGGCGGACGGGUGCGUAACACGUGGGAAUAUACCUUUCGGUACGGAACAACUGCGGGAAACUGCAGCUAAUACCGUAUACGUCCUAGCGGAGAAAGAUUUAUCGCCGAAGGAUUAGCCCGCGUUCGAUUAGCUAGUUGGUGAGGUAAUGGCUCACCAAGGCUACGAUCGAUAGCUGUUCUGAGAGGAAGAUCAGCCACACUGGGACUGAGACACGGCCCAG